UACGGGGGGGGCAAGCGUUGUUCGGAAUUACUGGGCGUAAAGGGCUCGUAGGUGGCCAACUAAGUCGGACGUGAAAUCCCUCAGCUUAACUGGGGAACUGCGUCCGAUACUGGAUGGCUUGAGUUUGGGAGAGGGAUGCGGAAUUCCCGGUGUAGAGGUGAAAUUCGUAGAUAUCGGGAGGAACACCGGUGGCGAAGGCGGCGACCUGGGUCGAGACUGACGCUGAUGCGCGAAAGCGUGGGGAGCAAACAGG
rnacentral:rRNA from 1 species